rnacentral:rRNA from 1 species
GGAAGGUCCGGGCGUUAUCCGGAUUUAUUGGGUUUAAAGGGAGCGUAGGCCGGAGAUUAAGCGUGUUGUGAAAUGUAGAUGCUCAACAUCUGAACUGCAGCGCGAACUGGUUUCCUUGAGUACGCACAAAGUGGGCGGAAUUCGUGGUGUAGCGGUGAAAUGCUUAGAUAUCACGAAGAACUCCGAUUGCGAAGGCAGCUCACUGGAGCGCAACUGACGCUGAAGCUCGAAAGUGCGGGUAUCGAACAGGAUUAGAUACCCUGGUAGUCCACACAGUAAACGAUGAAUACUCGCUGUUUGCGAUAUACAGUAAGCGGCCAAGCGAAAGCAUUAAGUAUUCCACCUGGGGAGU